UACAUGGGGUGCAAACGUUGCUCGGAAUUACUGGGCGUAAAGCGUGCGCAGGCGGUUAUGCAAGACAGAUGUGAAAUCCCCGGGCUCAACCUGGGAACUGCAUUUGUGACUGCAUGGCUAGAGUACGGUAGAGGGGGAUGGAAUUCCGCGUGUAGCAGUGAAAUGCGUAGAUAUGCGGAGGAACACCGAUGGCGAAGGCAAUCCCCUGGACCUGUACUGACUCUCAUGCACGAAAGCGUGGGGAGCAAACAGG
rnacentral:rRNA from 1 species